CCACGCGAGAUGUCAAAACGAGAUGUUGUUGGCAAUAUGGCCGCUUGCAUUGAGAGACAACAGUGAGUUUGUUUCCCGAAAUAGUUUAAAUUGAAGUGUAUAAGACAUUUUCAUUAAGUGGUAUUGAUUUUCAAUCUAUUAAACUAAGGUAUAAAGUAAUCAAUAUAUAAGCAAAAGAUGUAAAGACGCUAUCCUCCUGUUUCACAGACAAGGUUAAUUAAACUGUGGCGUAAUCCAGGCUUAAUCUAAACCUGUUUUUAUACAGUCUAUGAUCUAAACCCAGACUGUUACUUACAUAAUACAGCAUAUUUGUGAUUUUGCUGUAAAAACGCGUUUUAUAAUGCAUAACUAACGGGAGCUCCACACUCCACUAACAGUACAAGACUCAAAAGUGGAUUUACAUAAACCAUAUAUACAUCUUGAAGACUAAUACUAAAUAACAUUUAUCAUCUGACAGGAUAAUGUUUGAUUAGUAUUGCAGAUGAGCACAUCUAACAGACAUGAAACAGGUGUCUGAGUGAUGUGUGUGUGUGUCAACACUGCUAUAGAUGAGUAUCUUUUGUUUUGGAGCAGGACCUGCAAGGAAAGGUGAAAAAAGGGAAAACCUGAAACAAAAGAAUAAUGUAAUGACUUUUUGUAUUGUGGGUGUGUGUGUAUUUUUGUAGGAUAUGAAAAUGUGUUGAUACUGGUGUGUGCACUGAGCAUGGAGAAGACCACAGCAUCAUCCUUGAAAUGGUCCAGAGACACAGAUGAGACGCUCCAGCUCUUACUGUCUCAUCAGGACCAGAUGCUGCUCUGGUGUCUUCAUCCUCAGUGACCCCAGAGCCAGUGAGAGCAUCAAGAGAAAGACCAAAAGACACUGAGGAUUUGAUUUUGGUAAAGUUUGUUCUGCUGGUUUUUGUUUAUAUAAUGAAGGCUGACUUUCAGAAGCUUCAAAACCAUCAUCAAAAAAUGUGAUGGAGCUUUUAUCCAAAGUGAUUGACAGUGCUCUUAUUACAGGGGCCUACAAUCACCUGAUCAACCUGGAGAAAAGAGCCUUGCUCAAGGACAUACUGGUGGUUUUGAGCCAGUUCAGUGUUUUAGCACACUACAAAAGUUAUAAAUCAAUGCGUGUACUUGUAAACUCUGUGUAAAUGUUUUCCAGGUAGUGGUGCUCAUGGAGAGCAGGCACACAGAUGUUUGGAGCAGACACAGCAGCAGUCAGAUUGUCCUGCAUUUGUUCUCCUGCUCUUGUUCAGGGCUGUGUGGUUCAGAGAGCCGUCAUCAUGGUCUUUUGUCAUGAUCCUGACUUCUUUCUCUUUCUCCCUCUCUUUAUCACACACUCACCCACUUUCCUAUUAUGCACACACUUUUCCCUUUGCUCUAUUAAUCUCCUUCAGCUGUUCCUAAUUUACUCUAGUCUUCGUGAUUAUUCCUUUUACACCUGUUCCCCCUUCUCCCUAAAUUAACUCUCCUAUUUAUUCCCCCCCCCCCAUUCUUCAACAGAUUAUUCCAAGAUCCUCACGAGCAUCAGACGUCUUUCUCUACAUUGGGAAGUCGUGGCCUAAUGGUUAGAGGGUUGGACUCCCAAUUGAAGGGUUGUGGGUUCUAGUCUCGGGCCGGACAGAAUUGUGGGUGGGGGUAGUGCAUGUACAGUUCUCUCUCCACCUUCAAGACCACGACUUAGGUGCCCUUGAGCAAGGCAUCGAACCCCCAACUGCUCCCCGGGCGCCGCAGCAUAAAUGGCUGCCCACUGCUCCGGGUGUGUGCUCACAGUGUGUGUGUGUGUGUGUUCACGGCUCUGUGUGUGUGCAUUUCGGAUGGGUUAAAUGCAGAGCACAAAUUCUGAGUAUGGGUCACCAUACUUGGCUGAAUGUCACUUCACUUCAUUCCCUAUGGUUGUUUAGUUGGGGAUUGCUGCUUAGCUGGAUUUUUCUGUAUUUAUCUCCUUGUUUUGCACGUUGCCCAGCUCGCCAGUCUCUCACGGCUGCCAGUGCCAGCACCCGUGUCCCAUACGGUUUUUCAAUAAUAUAUAAAUUCACAACUUAGCGAACUGUGAAGCUGAUUGAGACGUAACCUCUGCAUGACAGUGGACCUUAAGCAAGUAUAGGUCUCUGCAGGAAAGUAAUGGGGGUUACCAGAUCAGGGUGUUUUUAGACCAUGAUACUUGAUUCCCUGGCUUCAUAGUGACGUUAGGUUUAGGGGUGGGGUUAGGUAAGGGGGAUCAUUUUGAUUGCAUGAUUUAGAAACACCCACCAGUUUGAAACGCCCACUUUUGUCCUGCAGAGAACGAAGUCUCACCUUAAGGGCCAGAGCUGACAACCCCUGACAUACUGAUUAGUUAAUAAUCCCUCAUGAAGAAUGAGUACACUUUAAUUUGUACAUUUUGGACAACCAUUGUUUUUGUAUUAUUAUUAUUAUUUUUUUUACAUCUACAUUUUAGUUAUUGUUUUCUUUCUCACUUUAGAUGCUGGAGAAAAAACAGCGAGGCUGAAGUAUUCAAAGUGCAAACAUAUGCCGUGGCUCAUUAAUCCAGAAUUGGGACGGAGGAAGGAGCAGAAGAUCAGAGAUCUACUGGUUCCCCUGUGGGAACCCAUUUACCUAAUGUGUAGUUAAACCAAAGAUUUUCCUCACUCACCUUCAAGCCAGACUUUUGUUCAUCUUUGAAUCACAAACUCAGAACUUCUUAAUGAAAUCUGAGAAAUAAUUUAUUUAUUUAUAAAAUAACACAUUCACGAGAGCACCAUGAUGCGUCAGUGUUGCGUUGGUGUGAGAGCUGGCCAUCCCCAUUGAGGAAACAUAAUUUCUGAAUACAUUAUUUUUAAUGUUGUUGUUUUUUGUGUACACACGGCAUCUUGAAAUAAAAAAAUGAUAAUCUUAAUUUGUAUUCUGCACAAAAGGGUCUUAUGGGUUUGGAGCAGCAUUAGGGUAAGUAAUUAAUGACAUAAUUUACAUUUUUGGUUGUUGUAAUGUGGUUAUAAUUGCUCAUUGUUUCAAUUUUUUUAUAUCUUAAAGAUUUAUUGUCCUGAAAAAUUAUGUUUAUACAGAAAGACGGAUUCAUUUGAUGUUACAGUAAUGACCAAUAAAAAUCUAAAUAAAUGCUGCUCUUUUGCAAGGUAUGUUAAAAAAAUACUGAUACAUUUCAUGGUUUCCACAAAAUAUUGGGCAGCACAAUUGUUUCAAACAUAGAUAAUAAUCAAUAAAUAUUACUUGAGCUGCAAAUAUUAUUAGAAUGAUUUCUGAAGAUCACGUUACACUGAAGACUGGAAGAAUGAUGCUGGAAAUACAGUUUACAGGGAUAAAUUACAUUUUACAAUCCAUCCACAUAGAAAACAAUUAUUUCUGUAGUUAUAUUUCACAAUAUUACUUGGUCUGUUUAAUCGAAUGAGGCUUAAGAUGUGAUCAAGAAAGUAGCUUUUUUUAUGGUUUACAUGAAAGAUGUAUUUAAUGUCAAUAAAUGUGUCGAUAUAC